GAAGAAAAAGUUGAUACAUUGCAAACAAAGCCAUCUGAAAUGCCUUAUGAGAAAGAAGAGUUACUUAAUGCUGCCGUCCGCCGUGUGGAUGCAUUGGAAGCUGAGCUUAUUGCGACCAAGAAGGCAUUACAUGAGGCUCUGAUGAGGCAAGAGGAGCUGCUUGCAUACAUAGAUCGCGAAGAGGAUGCAAAGUUCCGCAAGAAGAAAUCAUGCUUUUAAACACGAAAGUGCAGCUUCUGACAUCCGAAAUUGUUAUUGUACGUUCCGACAUUGUU
rnacentral:misc_RNA from 1 species